AAAUACUAAAAAAUAAAGAAAAACCCUUGAAUGAGUAGGUGUGUCCAAACUUUUGACUGGUACUGUAUGUGAUAAGCAAAAUUGACACAGUUACAAUAGACAUCCGCCAAAUUGAUGUUACCUGAAUUUUGUUAGCUCACAAUAAACACAACAGCUCAAUGCUGAGUAAAGAAGGUUAGUACUGUACAGGGAUGGUGAAGAGUAUUUAAACCAUCCUGCAGAAGUAAUUGGCAACCAGAAGGGGGCUCUCGUGUCACACUAGUGGUUGCCAAACACGUCCAUGCUGUGGUGGCCCACCUAAAGCCUUUGAAUAUAUCUUUCUGCGGUUUACUAACUAAACAAAAGCAAUGUUGUUCAGCACAAAUACAACAGUCUCACUUUACUCCACCAACAGGUUAGUGCAGUGUUUCUUCAUCCUGAUCCUGGGGAAUCAAAGGGGUACACUUUGUAUUGUUUUCCCUAGCACUACACACCUGAUUCCACUAAUCAAAGGUUUGAUGAUGAGUUGAUUAAGAAACAUUAGGUUACUAUUUUCACUAUAGUCCUCCUUUGAUUGAUUUGAAAUGUACUGUCUGUUACCAUUUGAGGUAAUGUACACCUUGCGUUCAUAUGGUUACGUGUGUGUGUAUAUGUCUAUCAUAACCUGUUGUGGUUGUGUGUGUAGGGCGGAGAGGAAGAGAGCCAGUGUGAAGCAGCAGAGUCUCAGCAGCAACCUUUUCAUCCUGGAAAGAACGGACCAAUCAGGACAGACAUAUUUCAGUCCCGCCCCUCAGGUCCAGGAAGUAUGUCAGGAGGUGGAUGAGUUCAUCUAUGUGGCCAAUGCAGAGACAGGAAGAGAAUAUGAGCUAUCGCAACAUCAGGCUGGUUCCACCAGGCUACCUUCCAGGACCAGAUCCAGGGAAAGAUCAGGCUGGUUCCACCAGGCUACCGUCCAGGACCAGAGCCAGUGAAAGGUGGUGAGGGGGAGGCGUCUCAGAUCCAAGCAUUGGUGAACCCUGCCUAGUGUUCGUCCUCCAGAACCCUCCUGGUCCUGACUUUUGUGUCCAGAGAGGAACCAGACCCAAUCAGAACCACUAGUCGCAGUACUGCUAGAUUAAAGACCAGGACCCCCAGUGUGGAUAUUGCACAGAGGCUCUGCCUGUCCCUGCUGCCCAACCCCUGGAUGGUCUGUCUUUCUGUCUGUCUGUCUAUGUAGUCUGUCUGUCUGUCUGUCUGUCUGUCUGUCUGUCUGUCUGUCUGUCUGUCUGUCUGUCUGUCUGUCUGUCUGUCUGUCUGUCUGUCUGCUGGGGUGCUCUGGUCUCAGGCUGUAGCUAGCUGUCAAGGAACUACCUUCAGCACAAAUGCUUCUGAAGGAAUGUUCUACCUCUGAUGUGCCUUGUUUCAAUGAAUCGCAAAAGAAAAAGUCAUUAUUGGGUAAAUAUUAUUUAAUAACCCUGUUGUAAUUUUUUUUGUGAAUAAAUAGUGGGUUGUGAAACAAAACAGAA